rnacentral:rRNA from 1 species
AGAGUUUGAUCAUGGCUCAGGAUGAACGCUAGCUACAGGCUUAACACAUGCAAGUCGAGGGGCAGCAUUGGAGUAGCAAUACUUCAGAUGGCGACCGGCGCACGGGUGAGUAACACGUAUCCAACCUGCCGCUUACUCGGGGAUAGCCUUUCGAAAGAAAGAUUAAUACCCGAUGGUAUAAAGAGUUCGCAUGUUCUCUUUAUUAAAGAAUUUCGGUAAGCGAUGGGGAUGCGUUCCAUUAGAUUGUUGGCGGGGUAACGGCCCACCAAGUCUACGAUGGAUAGGGGUUCUGAGAGGAAGGUCCCCCACAUUGGAACUGAGACACGGUCCAAACUCCUACGGGAGGCAGCAGUGAGGAAUAUUGGUCAAUGGACGAGAGUCUGAACCAGCCAAGUAGCGUGAAGGAUGACUGCCCUAUGGGUUGUAAACUUCUUUUAUAAGGGAAUAAAGUGAGGGACGUGUCCCUUUUUGUAUGUACCUUAUGAAUAAGGAUCGGCUAACUCCGUGCCAGCAGCAGC